rnacentral:rRNA from 1 species
UACGUAGGGUGCGAGCGUUGUCCGGAUUUAUUGGGCGUAAAGAGCUCGUAGGUGGUUCGGUAAGUCAGGUGUGAAACCUCCAGGCUCAACCUGGAGACGCCACUUGAUACUGCUGUGACUGGAGUCCGGUAGGGGAGCGUGGAAUUCCUGGUGUAGCGGUGAAAUGCGCAGAUAUCAGGAGGAACACCAGCGGCGAAGGCGGCGCUCUGGGCCGGUACUGACACUGAGGAGCGAAAGCGUGGGUAGCAAACAGG